UCCACAUCUUAUUUAGGACCAUAAAGGCAAUACCACUACAAGUCUUUCAGAGCCACAACAUUAGUAGGCUUAGGGUGCCUCUAAUGUAUAUAUGGCUACAGUUACUAGAAACAUAGAUCACAACACCCAAGUUCCUUUGAAUACCUGGAAAGCCUUCCCAAGAAGGACUGGGACAAACAAGCCCAGACUGUAAAGACUGCAAUAAAUGCCUAACUCUUCAAUGUCCAGACAUCAGUGAACAUCCACAAGCAUCAAGACCAUUCAGGAAAACAUUGGCCUCACCAAAUGGACUAAAUAAGACACCACAGACCAAUCCUGGAGACAGAGAUAUGUGUCCUUUUGGGUGGAAAAAUCAGAAUAGUUGUUUUGAGGAAGUACAACAAAAUUCAAGAUAAUACAGAGAAGGAAUUCAGAAUCUUAUCAGAUAAAUUUAACAAAGAGAUUAAAAUAAUAAAUAGAAUCAAGCACAAAUCUUGGAGUUGAAAAAUGCAGUUGACCUACUGACGAAUGCAUCAGAAUUUCUUAACAGAAUUGAUCAAGCAGAAGAAGGAAUGAGUGAACUUGAAGACAGGCUAAUUGAAAAUACACAGAGGAGAAAAAAGAAUAAAAAGGAAUGAGGCACAACUACAAGAUCUAGAAAAUAGCCUCAAAAGGGCAAAUUUAAGAGUUAUUGUCCUUAAAGAGGAGGUAGAGAGAGAGUUAGGCGUAGAAAAUUUAUUCAGAUAGAUAAUAACAGAGAGCCUCUCAAACCUAGUAAAAGAUAUCAAUAUUAAAAUACAAGAAGGUUAUAGAACACUGAGCAGAUUUAACCCAAGACUACCUCAAGAUACUUAAUAAUCAAACUCUCAAAGGUCAAGGAUGAAGAAAGGAUCCUAAAAGCAGCAAGAGAAAAAGAAAAAAACAUGGAAUGGUGCUCCAGUACAUUUGCCAGCAGACUUCUCAGUGGAAGUUGUACAGGCCAGGAGAGAGUGGCAUGCCAUAUUUUAGUGUGGAUUAGGAACUUCAGCAAAGUAUUAUCAGAGGAACUGAGUGUCUCUGUACUUUAUUCUAAAUAACUAUGUCCUACUUACCCGCUCUUAGAAGGAAGUCAGAGGACACUUCUGUAGGUGAAAUAGUAUUCCCCCCUGAUUCAGAGAGAAGAGAGCAUGGAGGCAGAGCAGAAACUUCGUUAGCAGGCAUUCUGUCCUUUGGUUAAAAGAUAAAAGUGGCCAAGAUGUGGAAAAAGGAUAAUAAAACACAAAGGAAUAAGAGUUGUAUAACUCUGAGGGACGUAAAAGAAGGCCAGUCUAUCCAUAUGGGGAUGGGGAAGCCUUGGCAUUGUCCUUUUUCUGAUAACCUUUGGACCCUUUGUAAUAUUUUAUUUGACAUUUUAUAUCCUCUGCUUUGUGGGUGGGGGUUUAGUGGUUACUCUCCUGUUUGGAAAAACAAACUCAGAGAAGUACCUAGAACAGUGUGAACACUCAUUUCUUCCUCCAACAUC
rnacentral:lncRNA from 1 species